AUAGUUUGAUCCUGGCUGAGAACUAACUCUGGCGGCCGGCCUACCACAUGCAAGUCGAGCGCUACCUUCCGGUGAAGCGGCGGACGGGUUAAUAACGCGUGCGGAUAUGCCCAUUUCAAAUGAAUACCCACUGGAAACCGUGAGUAAUACCUUAUACACCCUUCACGGGGAAAGAUUUAACAGAUUUGUAUUAUCCCGCGUUAAAUUAUAUAGUUGGUGGGGUAAUGGCCGACCAAGUCUACCAUCUGUAAUUGGUUUGAGAGGAUGAUCAGCAACACUGGGACUGAGACACGGCCCAAACUCCUACAGGAGGCAGCAGUGGGGAAUCUUAAACAAUGGGCGCAAGCCUGAUCUAGCCAUGCCGCGUGAGUGAUGAAUGCCCUAGGGUCGUAAAGCUCUUUCAACUGUGAGUAUAAUGACUGUAACACUAAAAAAAACCCCGGCUAACUCCCUGCCAGCAGCCCCGGUAAUACAGAUGGGGUAAGCGUUGUUCAGAAUUACUGGGCGUAACGCGUACAUAAGCUGAUUAAUAAAUUAUAGGUGAAAUCCCAGGGCUCAACCCUGCAACUGCCGUUAAGACUGUUACUCCUGAUAUCGAGAGAUGUGAGUGGAAUUCCCACUGUAAACGUGAAAUUCGUAUAUAUUUGGAGGAACACCAGUGGAGAACGCGGCUCACUGGCUCGAUACUGA
rnacentral:rRNA from 1 species